AACCCAAAGUAAAGUAAGGUUCAUAAAUUCCAACCUUAACUCUAACUUGAGCAUCAACCCAACUUUUUUGGGUUGGGUAGGGUUGAUUUUGGGCUAACCCAACCCAAGUUGUAGCUUUAUCAGCAACCAACACCAACUGAUGCUGACGGCGAAGGAUCAACCGGUUAUCAACUGUAAGUUGUUGCUCUUCCUCCUCCUUCCCUGCAAACUCAUUGAAGAAGAGUGACUUAUGAUGCAACAUAUGAAUUUUUUUUUGCUUCCAUGAAAUGUUGAAAUUUCUCCUACAAUAUUGCCCUAAGCUGGUAAAGUUGUCAUUUUUUAUUACAAAGGUUUGAUUAAAAUUUAUCACUUAAAUCAAACCUACAAUAUUGCCCUAAUCAACCCUUUCUCAAAUCAAAAGUUUAUCCCCUAAAUCAGAGCAUUUCAUUGAUUCUAAGAUAUAUAUAUAUCAGAGCAUUCAAAUAGCAUGAAGAAAACAACUUCAUGUCAGAGUUGUUCCUGCCAAUGGUUGUCCAAGUUGGUGGAUGUUAUGGUCGCCGGUCCUCCUUUCAGAUGGGUUGUUUUUGUUGAAAAUAGAACAGAAUAAACACUUGUAAGAAGAAGAAGAAUGGAAGAAGAAACCUACCACCGGAGCUACUUGUAAGAAGAGAAGAAGAGAAGAGGAUGUCAGACAAACUGUCGGAGCUCUCCUUGUCACCAUCGAUGGCAUCGAUCGCCAGAGCUUUCCUCGCCAUCGAUGGAGGAAGGGUUCGGUGUGUGGAUAGGGUUCGAUGGAAGGAGGAAAGCUCCAGGGGAAAAUCACUCAAAAAUCUCGCAAUAUGAGGUUUACGGGCCUUUGAUGCAACCAGUGGGUCGUGUUGGCUCUGGUUCAUGUUCGAUUGAACCGUCGAAUCCAAGUUAACGCGUGUUUGACCGUUAAUGUUUGGAUGGUUGACGUGGUCGAAUCUGAUUGGUGGGUUCAAGUGCCCAGUGCACUCACGGGUACACAGAACGCGGACUCCUUUAACCCUUCCUCCAUCAACGGCGACAAGGAGAGCUCCGGCGGCCAUUGGCAGCGAUAAAGAGAGCUCCGACGGCUCGUUUUUGACCUCCUCCUCUUCCUCUUCUUCUUCUUUUGUUUUCAACAAAAACAAGUGUUUAUUCUGUUCUGUUUUCAACAAAAACAACUCGCCUGGAAGGAGGACCGGCGACCAUAGCAUCCACUGACUUGGACAACCACCAACGAGAGCAGCAGCCACUCACCUGGACAACCACCGAUGGAACAGCUCCGAUCUAAAGUCGUUUUCUUAAUGCUAUUUGAGUGCUCAGAAUAUAUCUUAGAAUCAAAGAAAUGCUCUGACUUAGGGAAGAAGGAGGAGGAGGAAGAGCAGCAGCUCACCGUUGAUCACCGGUUGAUCCGUUCCCGCCGGCGUCGGUUGGUAUUGGUUGCCGAUGAUUUGAUAACAGAACUAGGUUCGGAAGACAGAGAGGGUUUAAGUCGAAUUCUAACAUGAGAGGGAAGGCCAAAUCGUGUUUUGCAGCCAGUUCAACCAGCCAAACCACUGAUAAGGGAGAAAGUCUCCAUUAAUUCGCGGUUAAGACUGAUGAAAUGAUGUGUUGGCUUUUCAUUGGUGGGUGCACUCGUCCAGUGCACCCAUGGGGACUCCAAAGAAUGAAAGCUGAUGAAUCAGUCACUGUCAUACCACCUGCACCGGGUCAGUGGGCAUCUUUUCUUAUCAGUAGUUUAAAUAUAGUGCAACUGUGAAUAAAGUAAUGAGUUGAGAUGUUUGGAAUUGGAAUUGGAAUUGGAAUUGAUUCUCAGUUGUUGUC